CCAGCAGAUUCCCACUGUUUAUCCACUGUUUGUGUUGAUGCAGUGUCUGGCCAGCCACUUGUGUGUAUGUAGGGGACUCAGACCAGCAGAUUCCCACUGUUUAUCCACUGUUUGUGUUGAUGCAGUGUCUGGCCAGCCACUAGUGUGUUUUGGGGACUCAGACCAGCAGAUUCCCACUGUUUAUCCAUUGUUUGUGUUGAUGCAGUGUCUGGCCAGCCACUUGUGUGUUUUGGGGACUCAGACCAGCAGAUUCCCACUGUUUAUCCACUGUUUGUGUUGAUGCAGUGUCUGGCCAGCCACUUGUGUGUAUGUAGGGGACUCAGACCAGCAGAUUCCCACUGUUUAUCCACUGUUUGUGUUGAUGCAGUGUUUGGCCAGCCACUUGUGUGUAUGUAGGGGACUCAGACCAGCAGAUUCCCACUGUUUAUCCACUGUUUGUGUUGAUGCAGUGUCUGGCCAGCCACUAAUGUGUAUGUAGGGGACUCAGACCAGCAGAUUCCCACUGUUUAUCCACUGUUUUUGUUGAUGCAGUGUUUGGCCAGCCACUUGUGUGUAUGUAGGGGACUGAGACAAAUUUAUUUACUGUUCAGUGACCCGUUUGCAGGCACAGGGGUGUUGACGAGCUGGGUGUGCAGGAGACAGACAAUUAGAAAGGAGGCCACGUCAGAGGUGCCUGUGGUGGGGUCGCCAGUUCCGGAGUACGAGGUGGAGGAGGAAGAGGAAGAGGAGGACGAGGAGGAGGCACGGAUGAGGAAGAAGAAAAGAUUAUUAGCUGUAGCCCUCCCUCCAGCUGAUAAGGGGAUAUUAAUGAGGCCUUCCUACAGGCCUUGGCUUCCUGCGGCCUUCACCCUGCUCAUGACACAUGAAUCCACGCCGGCCGGGACCUUACGCCUUCGAUGUAUGUACUACUCCCGCAGCCCAGCCCGCCCCUACCACCACAGCCCGCACACCCUAGAGCGCCCCCCACAUGCUGGCCUCUUCCCUGCUUCACGGCCAGGCCAGAUGGCUACUCAGUGCGUGGCGGCCUCAGGGCGUGGCAGCCGCCACACCCCCGAGGGCUCCCCGCCCCCAGACCACUGCCACGCCCCCAGACCACUGCCACGGCCCACACACCCCAGAGCGCCCCCCACAUGCUGGCGGCUUCCCUGCUUCACCGCCAGGCCAGAUGGCUACUCAGGGUGUGGCGGCUGCCACACCCCCGAGGGCUCCCCGCCCCCAGACCACUGCCAGUACCACAGCCCCGUGGUGCAGUACCACAGCAGCAUCAGUCCUCCCUUCUCCCGCAGCCCCCCGUGGAGCCCCGAUGGGGGGCGCCGCGCCAGCCUCACAGGGUGGCGCAGUCCAUGCUACCAGCACCACCACCACCACCACUACACUGCCCCACCCCGCGACCGCUGGAGCCCCCAGCGCUCCCCACGCCGUGUUACCCGCUCUCUGUUACCCUCUCCCCGGGGCGCCGCUCAUCACCCCCAGACCGCCGUGCCUCCCCGGAGCGGGGCCGCUCACCACCCAGCCGCUCCCCACGCUACUCCCCGCGCCAUUCCCAUUCCCGGGGGGCUGAGGUCCCCCUGCCGCUCCCUCUCCCCACUGGGUGAGGUGUACCCCUACGAGCGGCGGGGCUGGGGCUGCGCAGCCAGGGAGUGGGAGGCUCUCACCACCACCAUCACAGCCCCAAGGCAGAGCAGAGAAAUAGGGAGGGCAAGGGCUAUGGGUACUCUCCCCCUGCGACAGUAUUUGAUGACGACCUCCGGAUCAUGAGCGAGGCAGAGAUGUUCUCCAUGGGGUUCCACAAGGGGGAGAACAGCGAGUCUCCCCCCACCCCCCCCCCCGCUCCCCCUCCCCCAACACCCUCGAUGCCAAGUCUUUGGGUACUCUCCCAGCCGUGUCACAGCUGAUGAUGAUGAUGCCACCCCCCCCCCCAGCCUGAGCCACCCUCCACCCACCCCAGCCCUCACCAAGCCUCCUCCAGUAACCCUCACCACCACCACCACCACCAGCGACGUAACACCCCACCCCACCCCUCCCCAGACCACAGGCAAGGUGACAGG